CAGCAGCCGCGGGAAUACGUAGGGUGCAAGCGUUAAUCGGAAUUACUGGGCGUAAAGCGUGCGCAGGCGGUUUGUUAAGACAGAUGUGAAAUCCCCGGGCUCAACCUGGGAACUGCAUUUGUGACUGGCAAGCUAGAGUCUGGCAGAGGGGGGUGGAAUUCCGCGUGUAGCAGUGAAAUGCGUAGAUAUGCGGAGGAACACCGAUGGCGAAGGCAGCCCCCUGGGCCAACACUGACGCUCAUGCACGAAAGCGUGGGGAGCAAACAGGAUUAGAUACCCCUGUAGUCCCUGUCUCUUAUAC
rnacentral:rRNA from 1 species